GAAAGAGUGAGGAAGGGGGUGACACAGUGACAGAGUGAGGGAGGGGGUGACUAGUGACAGAGUGAAGGAGGUGGUGACUGUCACUAGUCACCCCAUCCCUCCCUUUGUCACUAGUCACCCCUUCCCUCCCUCACUCU